AUACGUAGGUGACAAGCGUUAUCCGGAUUUACUGGGCGUAAAGGGCGUGUAGGCGGUCUUGCAAGUCAGAAGUGAAAUUCCUGAGCUCAACUCGGGCGCUGCUUCUGAAACUGCAGGACUUGAGUGCUGGAGGGGAUAGCGGAAUUCCUAGUGGAGCGGUAAAAUGCGCAGAUAUUAGGAAGAACACCGGUGGCGAAGGCGGCUAUCUGAACAGUAACUGAGGCAGAGGCGCAAAAGCGGGGGGAGCAAACAGGAUUAAAUCCCCUGUUAUUCCACGCCGUAACGAUGAAUACUAGGUGUAGGGGGUAUCGACUCCCUCUGUGCCGCAGUUAACACAAUAAGUAUUUCGCCUGGGGAGUACGGCCGCAAGGUUGAAACUCAAAUGAAUUGACGGGG
rnacentral:rRNA from 1 species